rnacentral:sRNA from 1 species
AUAUAUAUAAUUAAAUAUUCCCAUAAAUAUCUAAUUAAACCAACCAAUAACAUAAUAAUUAAACCGCAAGUCAGAAAUACUAUUUUAUGAAUAAAUAAAUAAUUCGAUCAACAAAACCAAGAAUAACUGACAAUCCUAACCGGGUUCCAAUAAACAAAAACACCAAACAUAAAACAAACGAGUUCCUAGAUCAUCCUCUCUUCCUUGCCAUGAUUCCACAAUCACACUUUAUCUUUACCUGCAUCAACAACACAAUGAGAUGCGUAAGUAUUAUCAUAAAUACUUAGUGAGGCGAUCCUCCCAUCUACGAGCUAUACACACAAGCAAAUAAAAAGGUAUAAUCACGAAUACAAUACAAACAAACCAGUCAUUGAACAAUUCACCCAAAACACAUUCACCACACCUACAUAUCAUCACACAACCCAAUCGCUCAGAUAAGCUCAUAGUCACGCACUCACCUUAACAAAUUGAUUCUAAUAG